GACGAACGCUGGCGGCGUGCCUAAUACAUGCAAGUCGAACGAACUCUGGUAUUGAUUGGUGCUUGCAUCAUGAUUUACAUUUGAGUGAGUGGCGAACUGGUGAGUAACACGUGGGAAACCUGCCCAGAAGCGGGGGAUAACACCUGGAAACAGAUGCUAAUACCGCAUAACAACUUGGACCGCAUGGUCCGAGNUUGAAAGAUGGCUUCGGCUAUCACUUNUGGAUGGUCCCGCGGCGUAUUAGCUAGAUGGUGAGGUAACGGCUCACCAUGGCAAUGAUACGUAGCCGACCUGAGAGGGUAAUCGGCCACAUUGGGACUGAGACACGGCCCAAACUCCUACGGGAGGCAGCAGUAGGGAAUCUUCCACAAUGGACGAAAGUCUGAUGGAGCAACGCCGCGUGAGUGAAGAAGGGUUUCGGCUCGUAAAACUCUGUUGUUAAAGAAGAACAUAUCUGAGAGUAACUGUUCAGGUAUUGACGGUAUUUAACCAGAAAGCCACGGCUAACUACGUGCCAGCAGCCGCGGUAAUACGUAGGUGGCAAGCGUUGUCCGGAUUUAUUGGGCGUAAAGCGAGCGCAGGCGGUUUUUUAAGUCUGAUGUGAAAGCCUUCGGCUCAACCGAAGAAGUGCAUCGGAAACUGGGAAACUUGAGUGCAGAAGAGGACAGUGGAACUCCAUGUGUAGCGGUGAAAUGCGUAGAUAUAUGGAAGAACACCAGUGGCGAAGGCGGCUGUCUGGUCUGUAACUGACGCUGAGGCUCGAAAGUAUGGGUAGCAAACAGGAUUAGAUACCCUGGUAGUCCAUACCGUAAACGAUGAAUGCUAAGUGUUGGAGGGUUUCCGCCCUUCAGUGCUGCAGCUAACGCAUUAAGCAUUCCGCCUGGGGAGUACGGCCGCAAGGCUGAAACUCAAAGGAAUUGACGGGGGCCCGCACAAGCGGUGGAGCAUGUGGUUUAAUUCGAAGCUACGCGAAGAACCUUACCAGGUCUUGACAUACUAUGCAAAUCUAAGAGAUUAGACGUUCCCUUCGGGGACAUGGAUACAGGUGGUGCAUGGUUGUCGUCAGCUCGUGUCGUGAGAUGUUGGGUUAAGUCCCGCAACGAGCGCAACCCUUAUUAUCAGUUGCCAGCAUUAAGUUGGGCACUCUGGUGAGACUGCCGGUGACAAACCGGAGGAAGGUGGGGAUGACGUCAAAUCAUCAUGCCCCUUAUGACCUGGGCUACACACGUGCUACAAUGGAUGGUACAACGAGUUGCGAACUCGCGAGAGUAAGCUAAUCUCUUAAAGCCAUUCUCAGUUCGGAUUGUAGGCUGCAACUCGCCUACAUGAAGUCGGAAUCGCUAGUAAUCGCGGAUCAGCAUGCCGCGGUGAAUACGUUCCCGGGCCUUGUACACACCGCCCGUCACACCAUGAGAGUUUGUAACACCCAAAGUCGGUGGGGUAACCUUUUAGGAACCAGCCGCCUAAGGUGGGACAGAUGAUUAGGGUGAAG
rnacentral:rRNA from 1 species